CACGCCUCGCACGGUGCCAGCAGCCCGCUCUGCAGCGCCCGGUAAAUGGCCGCGGUCAGCAUCCGGAACGCCCGCUCCACAUCGCUGCCGUCUUUGGCUGAGGUCUCAACGUACCGAGCGCCCAACGACGCCGCCAACCGCUCCGCCUCCCUCCUGCCCACCUUCCGCUCCGCCGCCAGGUCGCUUUUGUGUCCCACCAGCAGGAAAACCACGUGGAAAGGCUGCACGGUGUCCGUCACCUCCCGGUGCCACCGCCGGACGCUCUCGAAGGACGCGCGGUUGGUGAGGUCGAAGAGCAGCAUCGCCCCCGCGGAGUUGCGGAAUCCACCUCCCCCCACCCCCCACCCACGAGCAAAGCAGGACCCACCUGAAGCGCUCCUGCCCAGCCGUGUCCCAGAACUGCAGCUUGACCUGCAGCCCCGGCUCCAACUCCACGAACUGGACGUAGAAAUCCACCCCCACCGUCUGAUUGACGGCAUCCAGGAAGACGCCCUCUGUGUAACGCCGCAGCAGGGAGGAUUUGCCCACCGUCGAAUCCCCCAGCAUGAUCACCCGGAACUGGUAGUGCCACCGCGGCUCCAUCGGCUCCCACCACCCCCGCACCCACUGCGUGCUGGGACAGG
rnacentral:lncRNA from 1 species